rnacentral:rRNA from 1 species
GUCUACGGCCAUGCUACCCUGAACAAGCCCGAUCCCAUCUGAUCUCGAAAGCUAAGCAGGGUUGGGCCUGGUUAGUACUUGGAUGGGAGACCACCUAGGAAAACCAGGUGCUGCAGGCG